UGGGGAAUAUUGCACAAUGGGCGAAAGCCUGAUGCAGCGACGCCGCGUGCGGGAUGAAGGCCUUCGGGUUGUAAACCGCUUUUAAUUGGGAGCAAGCGAGAGCGAGUGUACCUUUUGAAUAAGCACCGGCUAACUACGUGCCAGCAGCCGCGGUAAUACGUAGGGUGCAAGCGUUAUCCGGAAUUAUUGGGCGUAAAGAGCUCGUAGGCGGUUUGUCACGCCUGGUGUGAAAGUCCAUCGCUUAACGGUGGAUCUGCGCCGGGUACGGGCAGGCUAGAGUGCAGUAGGGGAGAUUGGAAUUCCCGGUGUAACGGUGGAAUGUGUAGAUAUCGGGAAGAACACCAAUGGCGAAGGCAGAUCUCUGGGCU
rnacentral:rRNA from 1 species